rnacentral:rRNA from 1 species
UUGGGAAUGCAGCUCUAAAUGGGAGGUAAAUUUCUUCUAAAGCUAAAUAUUGGCGAGAGACCGAUAGCGCACAAGUAGAGUGAUCGAAAGAUGAAAAGCACUUUGGAAAGAGAGUUAAAAAGCACGUGAAAUUGUUGAAAGGGAAGCGCUUGCAAUCAGACUUGUUUAAACUGUUCGGCCGGUCUUCUGACCGGUUUACUCAGUUUGGACAGGCCAGCAUCAGUUUCGGCGGCCGGAUAAAGGCUCUGGGAAUGUGGCCUUCACUUCGGUGAAGGUGUUAUAGCCCAGGGUGUAAUACGGCCAGCCGGGACUGAGGUCCGCGCUUCGGCUAGGAUGCUGGCGUAAUGGUUGUAAGCGACCCGUCUUGAAACACGGACCAAGGAGUCUAACAUCUAUGCGAGUGUUCGGGUGUCAAACCCCUGCGCGUAAUGAAAGUGAACGGAGGUGGGAACCGCAAGGUGCACCAUCGACCGAUCCUGAUGUCUUCGGAUGGAUUUGAGUAAGAGCAUAGCUGUUGGGACCCGAAAGAUGGUGAACUAUGCCUGAAUAGGG